rnacentral:lncRNA from 1 species
CUGCAGAUGAUCAUGCAACUGCAAGUUGUGAUUACCCCCAAUUUUUCUUGCUGCUGCCUUUUUAUUCGUUGGUGAGUCCUAAUUUCUCAGUGAGAUUUUCAAUUUCUUCACCCUUGCAUAUUGAAAUCGAUUUGUUCCAGCAGAUCUGCUGCAUCCUCAAUACAAGCAAAGAGAUAUCUGCCAGUUUUCUUUCUAUAUUUUCCCAAUUGAAAUCACAAUCAUUUGGUUCCUGAUUCCAUCCACCUAGUAUAAUUGGGAAAAUUCCAUCAUGUAAUGUGGUUGAUUGUGAACCAGUGAAGUUAUUUUUUUUACCUGUUGUAUGGUAACUCAAUUCUCACUUUAUAAGUCCCAGGCCAUAUUUUGCUAGAAUAAAAAAUUUGAUAUGUCAAUUUUUCUUGCUAUUGUUACUGUAACUCUAUUAGCUUCGUAACUAGCACUAGCAUAUUGUAAUUUUGCUGAUAAAUGACCUACCGCUGUACUGGUGAAGGUUCAAUUCCAUUCUGUUUGUUCGUUAACAUAUGCAAAGCUAGUUCAUUCCUUCUAAUUUUAUCUCACUACAAAUGCAGGAAAAGGUACCUCGGUUCGGGAAGCUUUACAACCCACCGAACAUGAUCAGGAAGCUUCUGACAGACUAGGCACAAAAAGCUCGAUCUUGAAGUUUAUAGCAGAUGAUUUAUGUCAAAAACUUCUGUCCCAGUAUUUUGUUUGAAUUCUUGUAAAUAUGUUACGUUAUGGUAAAUUCGUCUCCUUACUAUAGUAAUUGGUUGCUUGAUGAAAAAAGUGGUAACUUCCCAUCCUAAUUAUUGUUUUGCGUCAUGCAAAUUCUUGUAAACAUUUCAUGUCCCCUC